GCGACGGCUAAAUACGUGCCAGCAGCCGCGGUAAUACGUAUGUCGCAAGCGUUAUCCGGAUUUAUUGGGCGUAAAGCGCGUCUAGGCGGAAAGAUAAGUCUGAUGUGAAAAUGCGGGGCUCAACUCCGUAUUGCGUUGGAAACUGUCUUUCUAGAGUACUGGAGAGGUGGGCGGAACUACAAGUGUAGAGGUGAAAUUCGUAGAUAUUUGUAGGAAUGCCGAUGGAGAAGUCAGCUCACUGGACAGAUACUGACGCUGAAGCGCGAAAGCGUGGGGAGCAAACAGGAUUAGAUACCCUGGUAGUCCACGCCGUAAACGAUGAUCACUAGGUGUUGGGGGUCGAACCUCAGCGCCCAAGCUAACGCGAUAAGUGAUCCGCCUGGGGAGUACGCACGCA
rnacentral:rRNA from 1 species